rnacentral:sRNA from 1 species
GCCAGGUGUGGUGGCGGGCACCUGUAAUCCUAGCUACUUGGGAGGCUGAGGCCGGAGAAUCGCUUGAACCUGGGAGGCGGAGGUUGCAGUGAGCCAAGAUCGUGCCACUGCACUCCAGCCUGGGUGACAGAGCGAGACUCUGUCUCAA